UGGAAUUAGGCUCGAGUCCCGUAGAAGAUAGACAACGAUAUCCACAACCAUUAUGAUUCAUAAAAAUUGUCUCCUUGCCUAUGUUAUCUACCUCAAUGCAUUUCAUUUGAUUAGUAUUGACACAAAGAAAGUGUGAAAUCCAAUUUCUCAUUCCUAAGAUCCAAAUCCAAAGAGGAGAAUAUAUGUUGAACCAUCAAGAGGUCUCCACCUCAAGAUAGUGAUCGAUAACUCAAUUAUCCAUAUGUUAUAUGAUCGCGGCGAAUGAGGAAUGAUCGAGGGCUUGCUGUUUUCACCCACCAUCGGCAUCGUCCUAAACUCGAUAGCCUACGCCAUAAAAUCGAUAGUGACAAAUUCAUCGGGACUAAUGAAGCCGUAAGUUUUACCUUCAAAAGAUCCAAUCGCCCUUAGUCUAACAAAGCCAUCUUCUUCGUAUUUUUGUUCAACCGUACAUGUCACGUAUUUUUUGUCUCUAAUACAACAAAAACAUUGUAGCAACAAAUUGAACAAAAUGUAGCAAUCAUAUUUAGUGGGGGGGUGUUUGCUCAAUAUACACUGAUUGUAUGAUUGUUAUUCAAUUUUUGGAUCGCAGUUGUAUCCAUAGUUAUUGGAUUGAAAAGCCAACAACAGCCACCUUUCUCGCCACCUUCAUCGCUAUCUUCCUCUCCAUCUUCAUCGUCAGGUUCUACUAAAACCAACAAUUCAUAACUAGAACCAAGUACAUACUUGUUGGCUAACACCGAAAUAUUUAACUCGCAAAACUGUUUUUCUUGGACAUUGCUGAUUGAAUGUUUCUCAAGCCAAACUCCUUGAGUUAUCAUAAGCAAAGGAGUUGUCCUCUCUGCCUUUACAUCUUUCAUUUCCAUAUAGUACUGAUUUGUUUGCAAGAAGUUAUUGUUAGAGUAUAUUAUAUUAUAGAACUCUU
rnacentral:lncRNA from 1 species